rnacentral:rRNA from 1 species
CAGCCGUAAACUAUGCGCGUUAGGUGUACUGGUGACCACGAGUCACCGGGGUGCCGAAGGGAAACCGUGAAACGUGCCGCCUGGGAAGUACGGUCGCAAGGCUGAAACUUAAAGGAAUUGGCGGGGGAGCGACCACAACGGGUGGAGCCUGCGGUUUAAUUGGACUCAACGCCGGAAAUCUCACCGGAUAGGGACAGACAUAUGAUAGUCGGGCUGAAGACUCUACUUGAUGAUCUGAGAGGUGGUGCAUGGCGUCAGUGACU